ACCGCAAUAGUUCAAUCGGCAGAGCACCUGUCCGGCAUGCGGAAAUGCGCCGGUUUGAUUUCGGCUUGUGGUG
rnacentral:tRNA from 1 species